rnacentral:rRNA from 1 species
UACGGGGGGAGCAAGCGUUGUUCGGAUUUACUGGGCGUAAAGGGCGCGUAGGCGGUCAGCACAAGUCAAUUGUGAAAUCUCCGAGCUUAACUCGGAAAGGUCAACUGAUACUGGCGAGCUAGAGUGUGUCAGAGGAUGGUGGAAUUCCCGGUGUAGCGGUGAAAUGCGUAGAGAUCGGGAGGAACAUCAGUGGCGAAGGCGGCCAUCUGGGACAACACUGACGCUGAAGCACGAAAGCGUGGGGAGCAAACAGG